AAGUCGUAACAAGGUCUCCGUAGGUGAACCUGCGGAGGGAUCAUUACACACGUAUCCAAAAUACGUUUUCAAACCCAAACCGUGCUCUUUUUUAUUCUUGCCUGCAUUGUGAUCCAGUGUACUAUGAGCCAAUUUAAAAGGUGGAGGGAUUCCCCCUCUCUUGUCUUCGGAUAAGCAGAGGAGGAGUCUCAGCUUGUAGUCUAGACAUCUCCAAGGUCGGCUGGUCCUUUGUAGUAGUAAACCCUUUUUAGCCACCUGGCUACUUGUGCCAACCCGGUUUCGAUCCGGAGCCUUGUAGCCUUAUUACUCCAUUUUUUAACCCCUUUCUUUACAUUUAUGUACUGAAAUGUGUUUUUUCCCUCUUUCACAAGAGGAUAAAAAAACCAUUAUACGAAAUAAGAGAAAACAACUCUUAGCAAUGGAUAUCUUGGUUCUC
rnacentral:misc_RNA from 1 species